GGCCUUAUUCUCCACCACCAGUCUGACCUUCUUCUCCACCACCGACAUUCUCCACCACAGCCAUGGACAGCCCAAACAACUCAAUCCACUGGUCUGAGGACGACCGGGACUCCAACUUCGAGUGAGAGUACCACUACCCGAUCAAGAAGGAGGCCCUGGACCCAGAGUCCCCCCCGCCUCCGAUGAUGACGCGUCCCCCACGCCCUCCAAGGGUGAGGAUCCAAAGGAGUUGAAGGAGGAGAAGAAGAGGAAGAAGGAUGAGGAGGAGGAGGAUGACGACGACGACAAUGAUGAUGACGACGACCAUGGAAGCAGCCCCAAGUACACCUAUCCCUAUGUCGUCGUGCCUCCUCGCAAGCGUGCGAGGUACGCAUGAUCCUCGCUGGUGGCAGCAGCGGCGGCGACGACGAUAGGCAUGGAUCAAGAAUCAAGAAUAGAAGUAGUAGUAGAAUAUAAGUAGUAUGUUGUAUUUUAAUAAGUAGUUUUCAAGAUCUUAUUGUAAUAGUUUAGGAAAAUCGUGGACGAGCACAAUCAUAUGCUCGUCUAAAUGUAAAUUAUUUUUGAAUCUAUCCAAGUUCAUAAAUGUAAGUUAUUUUUGAAUCUAUCCAAG
rnacentral:lncRNA from 1 species